CAGCGCCACGAGUGGGGGUCACGAUUAUUGGGCCUAAAGCGUCCGUAGCCGGUUCAGCAAAUCCUUUGUGAAAUCGUUGGGCUCAACCCAACGGCGUGCAGGGGGCACUACUGAACUAGGGACCGGGAGGGGUUGGAGGUAUUUCUGAGGGAGCGGUAAAAUGCUAUAAUCUCAGGAGGACCACCUGUGGCGAAGGCGUCCAACCAGAACGGAUCCGACGGUGAGGGACGAAAGCUGGGGGAGCGAUCCGGAUUAGAUACCGGAGUAGUCC
rnacentral:rRNA from 1 species